UGGGGAAUAUUUCACAAUGGAGGGAACUCUGAUGCAGCGACGCCGCGGGAACGAAGAAGGCUUUCGAGUCGUAAAGUUCUUUUAUAUGGGAAGAUAAUGACGGUACCAUAAUAAAAAGCACCGGCUAACUAAGUGCCAGCAGCCGCGGUAAUACGUAGGGGGCUAGCGUUGUCCGGAAUCACUGGGCGUAAAGGGUUCGCAGGCGGAAAUGCAAGUCAGGUGUAAAAGGCAGUAGCUUAACUACUGUAAGCAUUUGAAACUGCAUAUCUUGAGAAGAGUAGAGGUAAGUGGAAUUUUUGGUGUAGCGGUGAAAUCCGUAGAUAUUAAAAAGAAUACCGGGGGCGAAGGCGACUUACUGGGCUCAUUCGGACGCUGGGGAACGAAAGCGGGGGUAGCAAACAGG
rnacentral:rRNA from 1 species